UACGUAGGGGGCAAGCGUUGUCCGGAAUUAUUGGGCGUAAAGAGCGUGUAGGCGGCCAGGUAGGUCCGCUGUGAAAACUCGAGGCUCAACCUCGAGAUGUCGGCGGAAACCAUCUGGCUAGAGUCCGGAAGAGGAGAGUGGAAUUCCUGGUGUAGCGGUGAAAUGCGCAGAUAUCAGGAAGAACACCCGUGGCGAAGGCGGCUCUCUGGGACGGUACUGACGCUGAGACGCGAAAGCGUGGGGAGCGAACAGG
rnacentral:rRNA from 1 species